rnacentral:rRNA from 1 species
UACGGAGGGGGCAAAUGUUGUUCGGAAUCACUGGGCGUAAAGGGAGCGUAGGCGGGUUCUUAAGUAAGGUGUUUAAUCCCGGGGCCCAACCCCGGACCGGCACUUUAAACUGGGAAUCUUGAAUAGUGGAGAGGUCGGUGGAAUUGGGGGUGUAGCGGUGGAAUGCGUAGAGAUCCCCAAGAACACCAGUUGCGAAGGCGGCCGACUGGACACAUAUUGACGCUGAGGCUCGAAAGCAUGGGGAGCAAACAGG